rnacentral:misc_RNA from 1 species
GAAAUGCGAUAAGUAAUGUGAAUUGCAGAAUUCAGUGAAUCAUCGAAUCUUUGAACGCACAUUGCGCCCGUCAGCAUUCUGUCGGGCAUGCCUGUUCGAGCGUCAUUUCAACCCUCAGGACCCCCCUUUCGCGGGGAGGGACCUGGCGUUGGGGAUCGGCCCGCCCCCCGUGGCGGCGCCGUCCCCGAAAUCUAGUGGCGGUCUCGCUGCAGCCUCCCCUGCGUAGUAGUUACAACCUCGCAUCGGAGCGCGGCGCGGCCACGCCGUAAAACCCCCGACUUUCUGAACGUUGACCUCGGAUCAGGUAGGAAUACCCGCUGAACUUAAGC